CUGCUUUUCUUUCCACUAAUGAAUGGCUGUAUCCACAAAGAUGCCCAGUAAUUCCUCUUCUGUAAAACUGUAGAUCCGCCUGAAAAGCAACUCAGCUUCAAGGAACGUGUGCAUGCUGACCAUGGACCAUGCUUGUGCACCUCAGAUAUGAAACUUGAGUGGUGCCUUGACAUCUCACUUGCAUCCAUCACAGGUUCACCAGAGAAUUCUAUUGGCUUAAACUUCAAACCCUAUCCAGAGGCCAGUGGCUUACCUCACCUGCUUCACCACUCUCUCUCUCUCUUGGAUUAUGGAAGAGCUUCCUGCCCGUUGUUCCAGCUUCUAUUCUUGGCAAAAAAAAAGCCAAAGUGCUUUUUAAAAUAGAGUUUGAUCUUAUAUUUAUGUGUUCAAAAAACUCCAGAACAUUUUGUGAUGAAGUGGACUCUGUUCUCUCAAAAUUCGUAUGCUGAAGCCUUACCCUUUUGUUUCUCAGAAUGUGAUUUUAUUGGGUGAGGUCAUUAAGGUGGGCUCUAAUUUUGUAGGACUGGUGUCCUACAGAAGAGGGAAAUUUGGAGGUAGAUUUUCAUAAAGGGAGAACACCUGAUGACUAUGAAGCUGGCCAUCAACAAGUCAACAAGGGAGGCCUGGACAGAGCCUUCCCUUGGAGUGCUCAGAAGGAAUAAACCUGGCCAGAACCUUGGUCUUAGACUUCUGGCCUCCAGAAUGGGAGACCGUAAAUUUCUGUUGCCCGACAUACCCAGUUUGCAGUGCUUUGCUAUGGCAGCCCUGGCAAAUGAAACAGCUUCCCCUUUCCGCAGGGUAACAUCAGGACUCUCUCAGUAACCUGCGAGGCCCUUCACUGUUGAGCCCCUUACUUAUCUGAGGUCUUGCACGCUGCUUUCCUGUUGCUCACUCUGCUCUAGCUCGACCAGCAUUUUGCUUCCUUGCUCCUGGUAUCAGCCCUUCUACUUAUUCUCUCCCGCAGGGAAUGUUUCCCUUCCAGAUCGUUCCUGGCUUGCUCUCUCAACUUUUGGGUUGUUCUUCUGACACCACAUUUUAGAUGCUUUAUUCUCCUAACUAGCUAAUUUGCUUUAUUGUUUACUUGUUUAUUUUGCUUAUUGCUGUCCUUUUCUCAUGAAAAUACAAGCCACGUGAGGUCAGAAAUUUUUGUGUUUUUAUUAUUGAGUGUAAAAUAGCUUCUCAGGGUGGGCAUUUGGCACAGUGGUUAAUACAUUGCUUGGGGAUGCCCACACACCAUUUCAGAGUGCCUGUGUCUUGUUCAAGUCCCAGCUCUACCUUCAAUUCCAGUUUUCUGCUGACGUGCACCCUGGGAGGCAGCAGGUGAUGGCUCAAGUCUUGGGUCUUUGCCACCCAUUUGGGAGACCUGCAUUGGGCUCUGAGCUCCCAGGUUUAGCUUGGCCUACCUCCAGCGUUGAAGUGAACAUUUGGGAAGUGAAUCAGUUGAUGGAAGAUAAUAUUCUUUCUGUCUCUGUCUCUGCCUUUCAAAUAAAAUGAAAUAAUUUUUUUAAGCACAACUCCUGGCAUGUAGUAGGAAAUAAGAAAUGUUAGCUGAGUAAAUGAAUAAAUCAUAAAUGUACCAUGUGUGGGAGGCUCAGCUACUUUCUGAAGAGUGAUGGGAACUCUGGCCCUGCCUUCACUGCAGUUAACAAGUGCUUCUGUCUAGUAAACACCUGCUAAGGAAGUAACAAGUACAGCCUCUGUCCUUGAGAGAUUACAAACUCACUGGGGGGACUAUACACACAAUGAAUGAAAAAUUACAAAUACGAGGUCCACAGAGCAAUACUUCAACAUGAACAAAUAAAUCCAGCAAGGGCUGGCUUCUCAAACUGGUGAGUCAGGGAGCUUUAUCAGAAAAGAGUGAAUUACAUGGAAACAAAGUAGGACAAAACCAAACAGUAGCAAGCAUUGUUAAGAAUGCUUUCCUAUAUGCCCUAUAUCAUAAGAACAUGUGGAGACUUUAUGGGAAGGUCUCAAGCACAUGUAUUGGGAAUGUUUAGCUUAUAAUAUGAGUACAUAAGUAGAUUUCUCAGCAAAUACUUUGCCCCUUGAAGAAUCACAAUCCUACUAAGUGGCAGAACCAGCAACCUAAAUGGAGAGCAAAUUGAAACUCCUAGGAACGCUCUGAACAGGUAGAAAGUAAUCACCAAAUUGGGAUCUAGCUACCACCUGAUGAAAACCAAUUAAAUUUUGUAGAGGUGGCAAGUGACAGAAGGAAAUAAAGCUAACUGGAAAAUAACCCUUGAUGUUUGCUUUGGGCUUUCUCCUGCUCAAUCUAUUUGUCUCUUUUUGAUUUUUUUCUUUUCACAUUAAAAGCUCCCUCUAAUUUCUUAGAUGGGUAAUUAAACCCUGACCUCUGGUAUGAGUCCCAAAGUAGUUAUGAAAAAAUCCUAAUCUGGAGGCAACUUCUGUUCUUAACUUUAUGCUGAUUCACUGUGGGCUCUCAGUUGUCCACAAGAGUCCCUGAGUUCUUUGUAUGACACACACUCCACAAAGCAGAGGUUUAUUAUGGUAACAUCUAUUGCAGAUAUUUAUCUAAAAAUAAUUCCAGUUUCACUUCUGAUGUCUAGAAGCCUCUCUUUUUUCUCUUUAUCUUCUAUUUUUUUCCCUCCUCCCACUCAUUCAACCUCCCAGCAAAACAAUAACCUAGUUAGUAGGGGUGAAAUAAGUUCAAGAUUCAAAAUAGAAAAGCAUAUUUACAUGAAUCUACAAGGUUGUGAAAAUUAAAGAACCUUUUAUUGAGUGUCCAACACAGAUAAUAUGCAAACUUCUGGAAGAAUAUUCCAGAAAUGUUUUUCCUUUGAUUAAAAAGCACUAGAUUCAUUUAAAUUGCCUCCUUACAUUACACUUAGCUAAGCUGAAGCAGAGCUACAGGGCCAGGCAGCUUCUUGAGGCCAAACCACAUGUGACACAAGAGUAUGGUAAACUUGACCCCAAGGUUGAAAUAUUACACUAAGUUAAUUUCUCUUCACUUUGAAGUUCAGAAUUAAAGACUACUUCACAGUGGGAGUAUGCCCAAAAUUAGGUUGUUGUGAUAUACUGCAUUGUUCAUAUAUGGGAUAAAAUAUCUGAAUAUAUCCAAUAUAUAAAUCCUUGUGUUUAUUUAUUCAUAAAUUGUAUAAUGUAAUAAAUACUAUUACAUCAAAACAUACACAAAACAGAAAGGAUGAGUUUAGGAUAAAAUAGACAAUGUUUUUGAAUGUCUUGCUGCUCAUGAUGGCUCCAUGUCCUGAUGAGCUAACAUCUCACAGAUCAACAUAAGCGUCAGCCAAGGUUCAUCUUUAAUGGUGAUGAAAGUAAAUCUCUAUUUUGAAUAGUCUUCUCAACAAUGCCAAAUGAUUUCUGCCAAACUCUUCUCUGGUGUGAUUAGACCAUGACUGUGUUGAGCUCAUGCUAUGGCUGACAAGUAGCUGCUCCUAUGAAGAAGAGAAGGGUCAGUUCUACCACCUCGUUUUCUUGUGCCUGACUCACAUGGUAGAAAGCAUUGUGGGUUUCAUCAGGAAUUCUUUACAGGAUUAAUUUUAAGCCAGCAGUUUGUGAUGAUUGGUUUAUGAAAACUAGAUCAUGUGAUCCAUAAAUCCUUUCAACAAGGGUGCAUGUAUAUGCCCUGCUGUGUAACAUGGUAAAAUAUAUGAGAUAACUCUGAUUGGUGAUGGAGCUCUUCUUCCUUCGUGUAAUUUCUGACAUGUGUCUCAUUAACGAUAGUGAGAUGUAAAUCUUUCUUGUUUUUUAAAUGACUAUAGAAGGUCUAGUAUAUUGUUUCCCAGUCAUUUAUGUGGGGCAUUCACUUUGAAGAUCACAAUCCCAGGGUUUUCUCAAAUAUGGAAAUCAUCUAUUUUUUGAAAAUAUAUUUAGAGUGUUUUAUGAUAUUAGCAGUAAACAUUUUAAUUUCAAGAUAACUAUAUGAAAAUAUCAAACUGGAGUAACCUGCCAAACCAAGACUGGUGUGCUUUUCUCCCACUUUAGUGACCGAAUAGCUAAAAGCUAGAUUAUAUUACCAUAAUGUUUCAUUCUUUUUCUUGUCUUUUUAAAGUCAAAUUUAAUAAAAGAUAGUGUGGGGAGCAACUGAGACUAGACUAAGUUACUGGAAUUAAGACUUAUUCUAUGCAUCUGCUCUCCCACAAUAUGGUGCUGGGGAGGAGCAGGCAACUUCUACGCAGCUGCCUCGCCAAUUUGUCUAACAAGCAGCAGGAGCUGAUCCUGCUCCUGAUUGGAGGAGAGCAGCGUGCUCGGCGUGUGGGUAGCAGAGUUGGGAUUGGUGGAAGAGGACUAUAAAGGAGGAGAGAGACAACAUGCACCAGGAACAUCCGGAUAACAUCUGAGCAGCCCCCGAGAGAGCCGGCCGGCCGGCGGUGUGCCGCUCCUCCGCGGAAGUGGGGAAAGUGGCGGGGGGUGCCGCCCCUCCACAGAGGGCGUCGUUCCUCCGCCAGUGAGGGCCGGCAGCAAACCCGGGAAGAGCCGGGCAGAAAGAACAGCACAGGGUCUAGUGUCAUUCCUCCACGAAUGGGGGAGUGACAGAUAGAGAUACUUGAAAAGAGAUAGUUCAGAAAUUGUCAUAUUUUGUCUUAUUCCUGUCAUCAGCCAAUAACAAUCUUUCUCUAAUGACAAUGUCUAUAAUCACUAUUAUUUAUUUUUUUAAAUUUAUAAUGUAUGUCACCCUUUCUGUAUAUGACAUAUGGCAGUAGUGGGCUUACUGAAGCAAUAGUCAAUAAAACAGUCAGAAAUAUAUUAAGGAAUAAACUACCAGCAGGUGCAACAACAUGGAAAAAUUUUCUUUCCUUUCUUUUUCUAAAGAUUUAUUUAUUUAUUUGAAAAUCAGAGUUACACAGAGAGGAGAGGCAGAGAGAGAGAGAGAGAGAGAGAGAGAGAAGUCUUCCAUCUGUUGGUUCACUCCUUAAAUGACUGCAAUGAGUGGAGCUAUGCUGAUCCUAAGCCAGGAGCCAGGAGCCUCCUCUGGGUCUGUCACACGUGUGCAGGAGUCCAAGGACUUGGGCCAUCCUCUACUGCCCUCCAGGCCACAGCAGAGAGCUGGAUCAGAAGCAGAGCAGCCAGGUCUCCAACCGGCAUCCAUAUGGGAUGCCAGCGCUCUAGGCCAGGGCUUCAACCCUCUGCGCCUCAGCACAGGCCCGGAAAGAAUUUUCAAUGCAUCAUGCUGAGUGAAGAAAAUCAGCUGGGAAAGAGUCUGUACUCUCUGGCUCCAUUCAUAGGAAGUUCCAGAAAGCAAACUAAUCAGUCAUGAUAGAAGUCAGGAUGGUGGUUGCUCCUUCAGAUAUGGAGAGGUGGGAUUCACUGGGAUAAAUUAUCUGGGUGCUUUCUCAAGGAACAAGAAUGUUCAAUUUCUUGACAGGGAUGUGUAUUAAAGGGAUGUAGGUAGUUUUCAAAACUCAUUGAUGUACAGUUAAGAUAUAUGCAUCUCAUUACAUGUAAAAUAUACCUCAGUGGAAAAAAAUUUAGGUGCAUCAUAAACCAGUUUCUAACAAUCAAUUUAUAUCAAUCUAACAACACCUUAUCAGCACCUCAAAAGCUAGUUCCAUGUAGUCACAAUUAAGUGAGGAGGCUACAGCUGGUAAAACCUGUACAUGAGGUGCCAAAGUGUUUCUAAUAAUAACAGUAGAUAUCAUUUUAUUACAUAUGGACUAUAUGUCAAGAAUUCAAUUGUCACAAUCUCAUAGUGCAGGCAAAAAAAAAAAAAAACCCUCAGGCGUAAAAAAUUUGAAGAAUUUUCCCAAGGCAAAUAAGAAAUACACGGCAGAUCUGCACUUGAAAUUUAGGGGUCUUGAUUUUGGAGGACCUGCCUUUAAAUGCCAUAGCAGUACAAUCCUUUCAUAGAGAAGAAUGUAGAGAUUUCCAGUCAUUUCAAGGAUAGAAGUCAUAAAUAGAUACGGAGUGUGCAUGCUGUUCCAGUGCUAAAUGUGUCUUUUUAUUAUCUCUGCAGAGUUACAAUUACAUCUGCUUUCUUAAAGAUGAGGGCUUUGAAGCUCAGAGAAUUUGAGCAGCUCUUGAAAGUGGAAGAACAUAGAUUCCGUUCAAAAGCCACAAAGGUCAAAGUCCACUAUUUUUCUACUUUUAGGAGCUCUUACCUUGGAGGACCACCAGAAUCAAGGGUCCUCCAAAUGAAGGCGUUAACCUCUUUGUUCUAGGAUUUCAACAGAUUCCCCAAACCACAGGCUUCAGAACAGAGGUUUCUACAAUGCUAAGUAACUAAUUAGAGAAAUGUGGCUGCUGUUUCUCAGGACAAAUGUGGCUCCACCUGAAAGCAGCCUGAUUUUUCUCUCACCUCACACAAUAGAAGAACGGAAGGAAGGAAACGUCAAGAUUUAUACAAAGGCAAGAUUUGUUCAAAGAGGAAUACCAAGGUUUUCAGGUGUAUUCACUUUAUCUGGUCCUGUUGCAGUUUGUAGCUCUUCCAUCCUGUGUUUAUGCAUGGUAGGAGGUCAAUUCCAUUGUCAAGGCAAGCAACUAUAAUGCAAGGACCAACAUUUUUAGUGUAUGGACAAAAGUCAGGGCAGCUGUCCACGGUGUAUGCAACAUUUCUGGUACUGAUGACCUUGAGUGACGUUGAUUUGCAAAUCCAACAGCUUUAGCAGCUCAAUAUAUUAAUUCAAAACACAACAACAGCAUGUUUUACUUGACCACUCACUAGUACUUGACUUAUUACCUGAACUUAAGUGCAUUCUACACUUAAGCAUGUGUCUUCAGUAAUGGUCCCUCUCACACUAUUACACCAUUCAGAAAAAGUGAGUCAGCCAUUCACUAAUACUUGAUCACAAGCAUUUAUUGAAUAUCUGCUAUGUACCAGGCAAAAAAGACAGAAAGUAAUAAUAAGAAAACAUCUUGGUCCUCAAGAAACAAGCCUUCUAGUCAGAGAAACAUCUUACUUGAAUGGGUGAUAGAGGCUGCAAUAGAACAAAGCCUGGGCUAACAGCAGAUGCAGGGAAGGGCGGACCAAAAAAAACCACCAACAAAGAGAGUUUCUCAGAGGAAGAGGUACAUAAAUGGAAUUUUGAGAAACAAAUGGAAGCUAGCCAAGAGUAUUACAUGUGGCUAAGUUAUAGGUGACUUUUCAGACAAGUGAUUCAUAUUCCUAUGGGCAUAGAUGGACACUAAAAAGAAUAUAGCUCAAUUUAAAAUGCUAAUAAUUUUCCAGUGCUGGAGAAGAGGUGAGAAGUCACAUCCAGGUGAUGGAUUAAGGGUGUGCAAAGAUCCUAAUCUUUCUCCUAUAGGCUUCAAAGAUUCUUUGAAGAAUAGUAAGUAAGCCAUAUGUGUGCCAGAAUUUGAGUUCAUUUCUUCAAAAAGCACUUUCUACAAACCAAGUUUGUGCAGGCAUUGUGCCAUGUUGGGCACUGAGAAAAUGAUGCUUAAGAAGACAGAAAUGGUCUCUUCCCAAAGGGAGGCUACAUUCUAACAGAAAAGACACACAUUGGGCUGGCACUUUGGCAUAGUGGGUAAAGCUGUCGCCUGCAGUGCCAGCAUCCCAUAUGGGCACCAGUUCCAGUCCCGACUGUUCCACUUCCUAUCCAUCCCUCUGCUAUGGCCUGGGAAAGCAGUGGAAGAUGGUUCAAGUUCUUGGCCUCUGCACCCACGUGGGAAACCCAGAAGAAUCUCCUGGAUCCUGGCUUUGAAUCAGCCUAGCUCCAGCUGUUGAAGCUAUUUGGGGAGUGAACCAGCAGAUGGAAGACCUCUCUCUCUGUCUCUGCCCCUGCCUCUCUGUAACUCUGCCUUUCAAAUAAAUAAAGAUGUGUAUGAGAAUCUGAGUUGUUCCUUUGGCUAAAAUGCUUAGGAAAAAUUUAUCUUAGGAUCCAGUGUUUAAGUUGAUAUAUGACAAGCAAAUCACAAUUUGCAUUUAUUCAUUCCUUUACUUGAGAUAAUAUUAAUUAUAUCACAAGUCUGGAGUGAUUUGGGAGAAGAAUCGGGUGAAGAAUGUUCUAGACAGAGGGAAGAAGAGCUGGCCCAAGAAUGGACUGAAGACAAGAGUGGCAAGGACAACGGUGGACAAACUGCAGACUAACAAGUGAGGGGGUCAGAGGAUUGGUGGUGGGAAAUCACAGGAGCUUUAGGUAGAGAAUGCAUACCUGGAUUCACUUCUGUAGAUACACCCUGAUAGCUGUGUAGGGGAAAAGGGAUUGGAGGGCAUGGAAGAGAAGUCUCUUUAGUUGUACUUCGAAGGCAUUUCAGUGAUGCAGGUGAGGCAUGAACAGGACUCAGACAAAAUAAUGGUCAUGGAGGUGGGGAGAAGUUUAGUUUGCUCAGGAUGCAGGGCAAAAGAGAGAGCCUGAAGAACUCACUGCUUAUGUCUGUGGAGGGUAAUUACUGCCAAUGUAGACUAGAAGCCAAGGCUUCUCCAUGUUUGGCAGUGACUUUUCCACUGCAUGAUGUAAACUUGGGAAAGCAAAUGCUUUGUUUAUUCUGAAUUAUAUUCUCUUAAUUUGAAACACUGUCAAGCUUUGCAGGGUGGUAGUAACAUAGCCAACAAGGUCUAUCUAAGGUGGGAUUGUUGCUAACUGAAAUACAGCCAAGAAGUUUAACAUGGGAGCCUUCACAAUGAAGACCCAAAGACUCAGCAAAGUUUCUAUUUUUAUGCUUAGAUAAAGUGAGGCACGCACAGCCACAUAAAUGUAACUGUACAAAAGGGCAUGAUCUAAUGAUAAUAGGCUGGUGGGGUAGGACCCAAAAAAGCCUGGCUGUUCAGAUUCUUGGCCUCUCUGUGUAGCAUUCUGUCCUUCCAGGAAUGGGGCAAGAUACUUCCUGGUAUGGGGGUCUGAUUAUUUACAAUCAGACAAGGAAAGUGAGAGAAUUCACUCAUAACAAACUCUUACCCAGAAAGUAGGGGUAACAAGAGAACAAUAUUUUUAGCCUUCUGGAUGGUUUUGGGGGAAAGGUGUUCUGUUUUCUAUAGCUUAUAUUGGAGAAAAGAAAUUCUGGUUUACAUUGCUUGCCUUGGGGGAAAAUGAGGGAUAAGAGACAGGAAGGCAGAACGUCAGAGAGAAACUGUUUCUUAGGAUUCACUUUGGGAUAUUGUUUUCUGAACCCCAACACUUUGCUUACCCACAAAUGAUUUUAUUUGGAACAUAGUCACCCAUUUGGUUUUUUUAGAACAUGUCAUAUGUUAUGAGUAAGCUCAACUAUUUCUCUUUUAAUCCCAAGAGGAUGUUAGCUAAGUGGCCCUCAUGGAAGACAAAAGAUUAAACCAUGCAUCUGGAAUUCCCUGCUCCAUUCUC